UACCAGCACCCCGAGUGGUCGGGACGUUUAUUGGGCCUAAAGCAUCCGUAGCCGGUUCUACAAGUCUUCCGUUAAAUCCACCUGCUUAACAGAUGGGCUGCGGAAGAUACUAUAGAGCUAGGAGGCGGGAGAGGCAAGCGGUACUCGAUGGGUAGGGGUAAAAUCCGUUGAUCCAUUGAAGACCACCAGUGGCGAAGGCGGCUUGCCAGAACGCGCUCGACGUGAGGGAUGAAAGCUGGGGGAGCAAACCGG
rnacentral:rRNA from 1 species